GAGCGGUAACAGGUGUAGCAAUACAUGCUGACGAGCGGCGAACGGGUGAGUAAUGCUUUGGAAUCUUCCCAGUAGUGGGGAAUAACCAGUCGAAAGAUUGGCUAAUACCGCAUACGUCGGAAACGGGAAAGCGGGGGAUCGUAAGACCUCGCGCUAUUGGAUGAGCCAAAGUCGGAUUAGCUAGUUGGUGAGGUAACGGCUCACCAAGGCGACAAUCCGUAGCUGGUCUGAGAGGACGACCAGCCACACCGGAACUGAGACACGGUCCGGACUCCUACGGGAGGCAGCAGUGGGGAAUAUUGGACAAUGGGGGAAACCCUGAUCCAGCGACGCCGCGUGUGUGAAGAAGGCCUGCGGGUUGUAAAGCACUUUUAGUGGGGACAAAAAGCNCGUGGACUAACACUUCGCGGUCUUGAUUUAACCCAAAGAAAAAGCACCGGCUAACUCUGUG
rnacentral:rRNA from 1 species